UUUUCACACACAUUGCAGCUGGUUGCGGGAGACGGUUUGAAAGAAACAAAAGCGGCAUUUGUCCUUCUCUCCAAGUUAUCAAAACUUAGCUCCCUGCUCCACACAAGCACAACGUUUAAAGACCUCUUUGAUGGUGAAUUUGGGGAGCACAGAGGCAUCCCUGAGGUGGAAUUCCACACUGCGGCAGGUGAAAGCAGUCCUUCAUUGUGAUCAGCAAAAGCUCUGUGCAGUUCUUGAGAAGGCCGGGUAUAAAGAACUGUCAUUCACACCACAAGAGUGGAAUCUGCUGAAGGAGUUGGUGGACAUCUUGAAACCGUUUGGAGAAGCAACUGAUUUGACACAGGGAGAGAAAGUCAUUACAAUCAGUGCAGUUGUUCCAUCCGUCUUGUCCCUCAAUCACCAUCUUGAGAAGCUGAAGCCUCAAGUUCGUUUCCUGAGCGGCCUGGUCAGAGGUCUGCAGGCAUCCCUGAUAAAAAUAUUUCUUGGGAUCUUCAUUAAUGUGAAAAUAGCCCAGUCUGAAGAAGGGAUCACUGCCCCCUUUUCAAACACAGUCUACCUGAAAGCAGCUGCCUUGGAUCCAGCCUUUUGUCUGCUGUGGAUUGAGCCCCGUCUGCUGUGGAUUGAGCCCCAUGUGCUGGUCAACCGUGACAUCAAGGCAGAGGUGGCACAACGAGUUAACGAAUUGAUUCUGCAAGAUGCUGCAGACACGGAGCAACCUGUGCCUGUGCCGGUGCCUGCUGAAGAAGAACUAGACGACAUGGAAGGAGAAGGGCUGUUUGCUGCAUACCAUAAGAGGCAGAAAAGGGAUGUUGGGACCUCACCAGCAGUACAGCUAAGUCACUACAUUGACAUGGCAGAAGGACAGAAUGCCCUUUUGUUCUGGGCACUGAACAAGUCAAUGAAGUGAGGUCUAAA
ensembl:lncRNA